CCAAGCUGCUCACCAGGAUCCCCA
rnacentral:siRNA from 1 species